rnacentral:rRNA from 1 species
UCUACCUGGAGCUCAGGCAAGAUU